UAGGGUGCCCAAUAGUCCUGAUUUUCCUGGAACUGUCUCAGUUUAGCACUGAGCAUCCCAUGUAAUGGAAAACCCCACAGCUCCAUGCAAACCACGACAGUUGGUCACCCUAACACGAG
rnacentral:miRNA from 1 species